ACACAUAAAAAGCUGAAUCCAGACUUUAUGUACUUGGAACGGGGGAUUAUUUUGGGGUGAAUCACGUGCUUAUUUACGUGUAGGGCUUACACCUUCUGCCCGAAUCCGUCAACUAACCUCGUAAGCUAUGGAAAGGUGGACAA
rnacentral:sRNA from 1 species